UAAAAAGAUAAGUUAUGUAUAAACUAAUUGAUUCAUGAUCAAUAAAAACCUUUGGUUCUUUUUAA
rnacentral:tRNA from 1 species